rnacentral:lncRNA from 13 species
GUGCAGGACAUGCGAAUCCUAUUAUUUCGGAAAAGUCGUCAUGAUUGAAAAUUACGAAUUGAUUUCAGAAUUAGAACUGUGUUAAAAGAAGAAUUUUUACUCUACGGUUAUCUUAAAGAAAGACUGAAGCAAUAAUGUUAUCUUUUGUAAUAUUAGGUAUUAUAAGCAGAAACAUUUCUGUUCCUGUAGAUCACUAAUUAAGUCGAUAGAGGAUAGUGGACAACGAGAUAGAAAAGCUUAUAGCUAUGUUGGAGAAUAAAUUAGAUAGAAUAUCCAUUACAAUGGAUACACAUCUACAACAAAUACAGGGUGGAAUACAUCAUGGCAAAGACAAAAAAUAAAAUUUUAAACUCAAAGUUUAAUUAACUUUGCAGAUAUGUAUUUACAUAGAUUAUAUUAACACUAGUUUAUAAAUUAUAGUAAGAAUUGUAUAUUUACUAGUAAACAGUUUCUUUGUGCAAA